AUAAGUAUAAUUUUAUAACUUUUAUAACCCGCAAGGCAUGCUGGGUAAGUUCCCAGCAUGCCUUGCGGGUUAUAAAAGUAUAAGUAUAUUAUGACUUCCUGUGCAACUUCACCAACCCAUGAUGUGGUUUUAAAGGGGAUUGUUCUGUGUGAAAAUAGGGUAAAUAGGUGAGAUGCUGCUUUCUCCACAGGCGGUAAGGCAGAUUCUGCGGCCUGAGAACCGAUAUUGGUUUCUAAAAAUGUUGGACUGGAACUGAUUCUGAAGCAGAUGGCUCCUCUCAAACAGGCACUGAGGUGAAGAGCAGUUCAAGAGUCUUGGAAGAACCCCCCACCAAAGAUGCUAACCUCAUGAGGAACCUUUUCCACCGUGCACAAUUCUCACCCCUUGCAGGUGACGCUCCACCGGUGACGUGCAAAAUAAAAACACAAAAACAAUAAGAGGGCGGGUUGAGGGGGGAGGGGUUAAAUGCUGACAUUGAAAAGCGAGAACCAAUAAGGAAACAGCAAACAUUAAAAGCAUAACAUUUCAUUUGACGUCCAUCAAAUGAGUAAAAGCUAGAAUGCAACACCUGGUUAAAAUAGAUGUUAAACUAGUUUGGCAACUAAUAGAAGGGGCUACCAAAAAAUAAAAAUAAAAUGGCACAUAUUAGCUGAGAUUUAAGAUGAAAACCACCAAAAAAAAUAAAAAAAAGACGUGCAGCUGGGGUAUAUAAGGUUUACUCCUUUUCCUAACAAAUUAACUAUUUCUACAAAGUACAAUGAAAGCAGAAAGGAAGUCUUACUGUAUAUCAUGGCACAGGAGGGAAAUAUACUAAAGGAGACAAUUGAUGAUAAAAAAAAAAAAAAUACAGGAAAAA